CCCGCUCACUCGAUCCAGUCCCGACAAUGAAGUCAACCAUAGCAAUCCGCGAAGUCGACAUCUACUAGUUCAGCUCCACCUCCUUCCUAUUUUUCUUCCUCUUUCUCCAUAUUCAAUCCGUCCCUCAGACCCUAAUACCCAGAAAUCAAUCAGAUCUGUCCGUCUCUCGCUUUAUGGCCUACAUCUUGUCGAUCUCCACUGUCAAAACAGAGAUUGUUCACUGUUGAAGAAUUGGCUUUGUACAAUGGGACUGAUCAAAGUUUGCCAAUCUUGUUGGUUUUUGAUGUGACGAAAGGAAAGUCUCAUUACGGUGAGGGUGGG